rnacentral:rRNA from 1 species
CACGUAGGGUGCGAGCGUUGUCCGGAAUUAUUGGGCGUAAAGGGCUCGUAGGCGGUGUGUCGCGUCGGCCGUGAAAACCUGCAGCUUAACUGUGGGCUUGCGGUCGAUACGGGCAUCACUGGAGUUCGGCAGGGGAGACUGGAAUUCCUGGUGUAGCGGUGAAAUGCGCAGAUAUCAGGAGGAACACCGGUGGCGAAGGCGGAUCUCUGGGCCAUUACUGACGCUGAGGAGCGAAAGCGUGGGGAGCGAACAGG